rnacentral:rRNA from 1 species
AUGGAGGACGCGGCGGCGGCGGCGGCGGUCACCCCCGAAAUGCAAGUUAGGAAGAGGCCCAGACCUGUCCGAGCCGACGGCCGGCAGGAUCCGCCGCCGUCGGGGGGCCUCGACCUCAUCAGCCGCCUCCCCGACGCGGUGCUCGGCACCGUCGUGUCUCUCCUCCCCACCAAGGACGGCGCGCGCACGCAGGCCCUCUCCCGCCGAUGGCGGCCCCUCUGGCGCUCCGCCGACGCGCCGCUCAACCUCGCGGCGGCCCCCGACCUCGCGGGCGACGACGGUUCGCGCGCCGCGCUCGCCUCCAGGAUCCUCUCCGGCCACCCCGGCCCGGCCCGCCGCCUCUCGCUCCGGCUCGCCCUCGCCCUCUCCCCCCGCAGCCAGGGCGAGGCCGACGGCUGGUUCCGCUCGGCGUCGCUCGCCGGCCUCCAGGACCUCGAGGUCACCAACCUGGAGUGGGGGAGCCACUACCCGCUGCCGCCGCACCCGCUGUUGCGCUUCGCGCCCACGCUAUGCUUGCUCAGGCUCGGCGGCUGCCGGUUCCCAUUCCCCGGCCAGGCCUCGCCGCCGCCGAGGUUUCCGCGCCUCAAGCAGAUCAUGCUGUUCGAUGUACGCAUCUCGGAGGACACUCUGCAAAGCGUCAUCUCCAGCUGCGCUGUUCUCCAAAGCGUCUCGCUGCACAACAUGAGCUUCAGUCGCCUGUGCAUCAGCUCGCCGACUCUCAGGAGCAUCAGCGUCGAAGGUGUCUUCACCUUCCGGGAGCUGGUCAUUGUCGACGCCCCUUGCCUCGAGAGGUUGCUGCCGAUUUACCCAAACGGUGGUCCGGCGACCAUACGGGUAAUCCGGGCACCUAGGCUGGAGGUACUUGGUUUCUUGUCUCAAGGCAUAUCCAGGCUCCACCUUGGAACCACAGUCUUUCAGAGAAUGAUUGCUGUCACCAUGACAACCAAAAUGCGCACGCUGAAGAUUUUGGUUCUUGAAUGUGCUCCGAAUCUGGAUUUUGUUGUUGACUUCCUCAAGUGCUUCCCCUGCUUGGAGAAGCUCUAUGUCAUUUUCAGUGAAGGAAAGGAUAUGAAUAUUGCGCCGAAGUAUGAUUUGCUUGAUCCAAUUGAAUGCCUUGAACUCCAUCUAAAAGAAGUGGUGUUGAAGAAUUACUGUGGUGGUCAUAGGCUAUAUAUGGACUUUGCCAAGUUCUUUCUUUUGAAUGCGAAAGUGCUAAGGAAAAUGGAAAUCGGAGCCCGUUACAGCUACAAGUCCAACUGCAACAUCGACAACUGGAUGUGUUAUCUACGUAGGCAGCUACAAGUGGAGAAUAGAGCUUCCAAAGAUGCAAGCGUUGAAGUAAAAGUUAAUAAAUUCACUCGCCACGAUCCAAGAUCCAGGAGGUGGUGCCUCAGCCAAGGAUUAAAAUCGGAACUUGCAAAGAUUCUAAGAGAAUUUGUUCGCUUGCGCUGCUGCUAG